GAAAUGUCCCUGAGAGCAGCUGGGGCUGAGCAGGGGGAGGCUGAGGCGUCUUCCCCUGCAGCCAUCACAGGGCAGACCCCUGGAGGAGCAGGGGGACAUUUCCUGAGGGAACGCGGCCGGUGAGAGGAGCCCAUGUGGAGCAGGUCUCCUGAGGGAACUGCACCCGGGGAGAGCCCACGCUGGAGACGCUGUGUGAGGGGGAAGGAGCAGCAGAGAGGGCCUGUCAUGGACCGACCACAGCCCCGCUCAGGGGGCAGGAAGACGUAGAGAAGUUGGGAAUAAAGGAAUGAAGCUGAGCUUGCAAAAAGGAAAAAAAAAAUAGGUUUCUGAUUUCUGAACAUGGACCCAGUCAAGGCUACAAGAGUACAGAGCAAGAAUCAGCAGUGACACAGUCUAGGCCUCCCUUGAUGUACCUUCCCUCCAACAGCCUUCAAAAUAUCACAGAAGCUGAUGGACGUGACAGCUGAGAUGACUCAGGUCAACUGAGGAAGUGUUCC